rnacentral:rRNA from 1 species
CCUCGGGGGGCAGAAGUGAGGAAGAAUGGCCAAAGGGCGCGAGCCGGAACCAGCCAAGGAGGGUGAAGGAGGACGGGCCUACGGGUUGUAAACUUCUUUUAUAAAGGAAUAAAGUGAGGCACGUGUGCCUUUUUGUAUGUACUUUAUGAAUAAGGAUCGGCUAACUCGGUGCCAGCAGCCGCGGUAAUACGGAGGAUCCGAGCGUUAUCAGGAUUUAUUGGGUUUAAAGGGAGCGUAGAUGGGUUGUUAAGUCAGUUGUGAAAGUUUGCGGCUAAACCGUAAAUUGCAAUUGAUACUGGCAGUCUUGAGUACAGUUGAGGUAGGCGGAAUUCGUGGUGUAGCGGUGAAAUGCUUAGAUAUCACGAAGAACUCCGAUUGCGAAGGCAGCUUACUAAACUGCCACUGACAUUGAUGCUCGAAAGUGUGGGUAUCAAACAGGAUUAGAUACCCCAGUAGUC